rnacentral:rRNA from 1 species
AUUGAACGCUGGCGGCAUGCCUUACACAUGCAAGUCGAACGGCAGCACGGACUUCGGUCUGGUGGCGAGUGGCGAACGGGUGAGUAAUAUAUCGGAACAUACCUUGUAGUGGGGGAUAACUAUCCGAAAGGAUAGCUAAUACCGCAUACGCUCUAAGGAGGAAAGUGGGGGAUCUUCGGACCUCAUGCUAUAAGAGUGGCCGAUAUCUGAUUAGCUAGUUGGUGAGGUAAAGGCUCACCAAGGCGACGAUCAGUAGCUGGUCUGAGAGGACGACCAGCCACACUGGAACUGAGACACGGUCCAGACUCCUACGGGAGGCAGCAGUGGGGAAUUUUGGACAAUGGGGGCAACCCUGAUCCAGCAAUGCCGCGUGAGUGAAGAAGGCCUUCGGGUUGUAAAGCUCUUUUGUCAGGGAAGAAACGGUUGUGGCUAAUAUCCAUGGCUAAUGACGGUACCUGAAGAAUAAGCACCGGCUAACUACGUGCCAGCCGCCGCCGUAAAAC